UGUUAGUUCGUUCGUGAUGUAGGAAUUCAAGCUUUCGGGCGGAAGCUAUGGUCGACGCCAGAGGCCACGAGUCGUUUAAUUUAAGUUAGGUCAUAAUGUAGUCGUCAAGCUUUCGGGCGGAGGCUAUGGCCCUCGUCAGGGGUCACGCGUCAUAGUUUUUAAAAUGUAAUGUUCGUUCGGGAUUUCAAGGGCAGGAGAGGCCCCUACGUUAUUUUUUUAAAGUAAUCGAUCAAGAAAGGCUUUUCGGAAAAUGUGAGUAUGGACUUAUCUUUGUUUUAAUUUUAAGUAUUAAUUAUGAUUUGAGGUAUUCGGAAGGACUAGGGAAGUGUUUAGUGAAGUUCUCUCAUUCUCUCUCUUGUAAGGUCGUUCAAUCGUUAAGGAAGUAAAGAGAUUAUUGUUUUAAAUUGUAAUCCCGCUAUUUAAAUGUUCUUUAAAAUGAUGUUGAGUAUUUGACUUUAAGAAUAAAAUAAUUUUAAUUAAGUAUUAUGUUAUUUUGCAAAAUCUCCUUAGUUCAGCUCUCACCAGACAUCCUGUACGGGAUGACGAACCUAUGAUCCUAGGUACAGUAAAGUAUUUUAUGAAGUUAAGACUAGUUGAUGCCAAGCGAGUUGUUUCUAUGUAAAGAGCUACGAUUCUCGCCCCCCCCUCUGAAGGUGGAUCGUGACAGAAAUGGCGGUGGCACCGGCUAGGUGCACGUGACAGAAAUGGUAGAGUUCGCCGGAUAGGUUCUAUUUCUGGAGAGAGAGAGAGGUAGAUUUUUAUGUUUAUUAUUAAGUUAGUUUCAGCUUCUGAUAGCAGGUUAUUAAGAGUUUACUUGAGGAGAGGAUUACGGAAUUUAAUCUAAGUGGAGGAAGUCUUUGAGAUUUUUUUUUUUGACGUAACAGAUGAUUAUUUGAGUAUACUUGUAAGGAUAAAGUUUAUAGUGAUAAGUUGUUUUAAGUCGUUGAAUUUAUUGUAGAUUUAUAUCGGGGAUUAUUACGUGAGGAGAAUACGUUAUAAGUUAAAUGCUUAUUAGAGAUAAUGCAAGUGGUUUAAUUUAAUUGAAAUUAAUUUUAAGAUUGUAGGUUAAGAGAGUUAAAAUUUAAAAUAAAGUUUUUUUCGUAAAUAGGAAUUAUUUUCAAGUGAAGUUUGUUUUGCUGUCGUGCGCGUAGGAGACGAGACGUACGAAUUAAAUCAGUCGAGGGAAGGAUAAACGUUAGAAAGGGAUUAAAGAGAAAACGAGAGUUUAUGUAAAAGAGAGUUAUAGAAUUUAUAGUGAUGUUUUGUUUUAAUUAGAAAAAUGUUGAGAGUUGUUUCAGAACGACACGUCAGUGGACGUGGCAGAGUGAACACGUGACGGGGAGGUGCUGAGACCUAGCGGAGAACGGAGGAACCGCAAGCGAGGGUUGGCGCACCUGAUGGAAUUCGGUGACGUCACGGGCUCAUACGGAGACGUGGACGGCCGUGACCUUGUUUUGAUCAGCUGUACGGUAACUUAGCGAUAAGAAAAUAGACUAUUGGUUAAAUAAAUUUAAAUUUAAGUGUGUUUUAGGAGAAGAGGAACUUUCAGUAUAUUCCUUAAGAUGAGCUGAGCAGCAGUCCAGUUUACAAGAUGACAAGAGUUCGAGAGACAAGAUACAAGAUCACUGAAACAAGAGCCAAGACUGAAGAUUCAAGAGAAGAGAAAGCUGGCAGCCAUGGACUUACAAGUGGAGAUUAAUAAGGUCAUGUAAAGUUUUAUUUUUUUUUAUGGAAGACAGUAACUGGAGUUUUUUUUUGUUAUAAACAUUAUUUACAGAACUUUUUAGGUUAUAGUAAUGUAAUGGAACUAGUGAGUUGUGGUAGCUGUCAAAAAGAACUAAUACCUUAAGUUUAAUUUUUAAAGUUAAUUUUCUUAAUUUACAGAGGGAUUAGUAGUUUUUUUUAAACCUUAUUUAGGUUGGAAUUUAAAUACAAUAGCUUAUUAUAAAUGUGUACGAACAGUUCAAGUUCACAGUACUGAUAGGUAGGUCAGAUGAUCUUAUUGAUUUUGAUGAUUUGUUGUUUUGAGUUGAUUUUUAAGUGUUGUGAAUUAGACAAUGAAAUAGUUCUGAAAACUUAAAUUAUUUCAAGCUAAGAAAUAGUAAAGUUAAUUGUAACUCAAAGGACACCAGAAUUUAAUUUUUUUUUGAAUUAGUAAUGUUUGAAAAUUUUAUACUUUACAAGAAAGGUUAUAAACAAACAGAUCGGAUGGAACAAGGAUGCAGUAAAUCACAAUUUCAUUUAGAAUUAUUGAUUAGCUUUUGAGGUUAUGAAGUAAAAGUAAUUAUAGUUUAAAAGUUUGAAUAAAAAAAAAUGUUUUUUUUUAUUUGUUUGAAAUAGAAAGUUUAAAAGUUAAUUAGUCAUGAUCUAGGUGGGUGAUGGGGUGGGAAUUGGCCACUCUUUUUCCCUAUAACCUCCCUAACAUGGCCUUCUAUUACAACUAACAGAAAUAAAGAAGAAGAAAAAUGAAGAAUUAUUAGUUAGAAUGUUUCUUUCAUGAAGAUACCUGAUGAACUUUUACUGUUUGGAAGAAUAGAAGCAAGGUUAGUCAGAUAUUUUUACUCAGAAGAAGAAGAAGAUAAAGCAGUUUUAUGACUCGACAAGCCAGAGAUUGGUGUUUCCCCUCUGCGCUUCUAUUGACUACGUUGUUUACUCUCAUGGGAUAGCUGGUUCGGCACCAUGGAGAGAGAUUGGUGGGCAUUGUGGUUGCCCCCAGAAGAAAAGAAGAGUAGAAGAGGUUAUGGGUGGGUCAUGUGAACUGACCUUCAACCCAGUUACUUCGUGGGGACUAUUUGCUGUAUAGAGAAGAUCAAGACUCAAGAGGUAGGGAAAAUCAUUGGAGGUCAUGUUUCCCUUCCUUAAGUUUUUCCUAUCAAAUUAUUUGCCUGAUUAGAUUAUGCUAAGGGUGGGAUACUUUAUGUUAGCAGUUGAAUUAAUUAAUUUUAUUUUUUUGUGUGUUUGCAUCCUUGCCCAUCGAUUGCAGUUUAGUAGUUAGUUUUGUAUUUGUCAGGCGUGAUGGUAAUGCCUGUUGAUGAUGUUUCAGAAUUGUAAUCUGUUCGUGAUGAGGAUGGCACAACUCCGAAGCAGAUGUGGGGAGAAGUUGUGAGCUGCCCUGGAAGCCAGUCCAGUAGCUGUUGGAGUUGAGUGGUGUUUGCUGAUGGCCAGCCCAGGGAGCUACUCUUCUCGACAACACUGACUUCGAGGAGUUGCACCAACCUUCACGAGAUAAGAGUUUAAUUAAUUGAAACACUGUAAGGACACUUAAUUUUUUUUUGAAGAACGAAAGAAGUAUGGUAAUAAACGGAAACUGAAAAAAAAUAAUAAUAAUUAUCAAGAAUUUGCACAUUGUUUAACGAAUACUGAGAAACUAAGAACAGUAAUUUAAUUUGUAAAGAGAGCUUCACUAACAGAACAAUUUUUUUAGAAUUGAGAACUCGAGCCUCUGAAGGUUCCUGUGAGAACAAACCAGAUAAAAGUUUUACAUUUAAUUUUAUGAAUACUUGUUGUUUUAAAAUAAAUCUUAUGCAGAAUCUAGAUGUAUGUUCAGACAGCAAGGAACUAAGAAAAUUAUUAUUUUUGUGAAAUGAGGAAUUUAUAGUUAUGGUUUAAUGGAAAAAGACAAUUUGUAAUUUUGAGGUAGCUCGAUGGGGCUCGAGCUCUGUGAGGGGAGGGUUAUGUCGCGGGUUGAAAUUUUGCAGGGUUGUUGAAAUCAAAUUUAGGGACUUUACUGACGGGACUCUGGGCUGGCUGCUCUGUUCACUCGUCAGCGCAAGUGGCGUGACCAUGUAAUUGGGGCACGGGGCCGGCGCGGCGCGCUGCGGGCUU